UAUUUUUACAUAAUCUGAAAAAGCUGGGAAAUAGGAAGAUGACAGCAUUUGCUUAUCAUAUCCAAUUACUCAGACGGCCAACACCAGGCCUGACGGUGAGGAGUUACAGAGGCGUCUCCUGAGACUUGAGUGUCUGCAUGAUGGAUAGACAUAUAGGAAGUAACGCACUUGCAGAAAAACAACCCUGAUUGUACAGGUGCAGCAACGGGCUCUAAAUUAGUUAUCAUCAAUUAUUGCCUCUCAGCGAAGAGGCCCAGGUGUCACAAAUUGAGAAAUCAGCAGCUCCAAAGGCAAAAGGCAAAAAGAAGUUUGCAAAUGGUUAGGAAGCAGCUGAAGAGCAAAACACAUCGUAUCGGUACGGCAAUGGACAACUCCACUAUGCAUCCCCACACUGAAAUGGUUGUGUUUCGAACCAUUUAAUUGCAGAAGUGAUACGGGGCAACUAAAACAGAUACAUCACACUUUUGAUGAGGAAGGUGGAAGAUCAAUCUGCCAUAUCGUUAGUCCUAACUUUGUUUCUUAAAUAACCACUGCUGGUAGAAGGAUUUGGUCAGAUUAUACUUUUGCCAAGCAACACUGGUAUAAAACAGGUAUGGCUUCACUAGAAAAACAUGCGGGCAGGCCAUGGUAAAGCCUGUAGAGACCCACUGGGUUUGUUUUGCUUUGAGAUCGGGCUGCCCAGGCACUGCAGAUGCAUUUGCUGUUAUUAACCUGCUUUUCUAGGUGUUUUCCCUCCUGUGGAAAACACACAAACAGAAAUCCUUGCUCUCCCCCUUUGUUCACAGAACGUGAUUUAUCAGCAGCACACCACAAAGCACAGCCAACAGAGCCUCACAAAGUGCCUUACCCUGUAUUGUUCAUCAGUGGGGAUGGAGAGACUCUACUGAGGUCCCAGAGGCCACCUGCAUGUGCUUUGCCCAUCACACCUAAUGUGUGCGGCCACAAACUCAUUGCUGAAGGGGAGCUGGGGUCCUAGGGAGCUGUUUCUCUUCCCCAGUCUUGUUCUUCUCUAGUUUUUGGCAGUGCACUGCAGUAAGCUUGCUGAAGAGGCAGCAGCAUGCUGCAUUGUUUGUAUGGUUGGUUCCAGAAAUGGGCAAGUAGUUUGCAGCAUUUAUCUUUUUUCAAUGAAUUGAACGACUAUUUUUAGUUGUUCUAUGGGAAUGUUACUUCUUUUAUGGUUUUUGAAAAUUAAUCUUAUUUUCUGCUCUUAGAAAAGAGUGGAGGAUUUUGCAAAUGUCAAAGGGUUUGCAUGCCAGCUUGCUAACUGAGGUGGGGGACUAGCUCCCUAGUCAAGCAACCAAAUACUCCAUUAAUAGGAAAGGGAGCAAAGUGUCUUUAAGAUAUAAGUGGUUGGUGGGAUAUGAAGAUAUUGGCUUUGCUGGCAACACAUGGUCAGAUAAGUAUCUGGGAAGUUGGCGAACGAUAUAAUUUAUAUGCCAGUGUGCAGCAUACAGGGAUGGAGUUUCAAAUAAAAGUAACCUCUGUUUUUUAGCAAAGUUGAGUAUUUUCAAGGUCUUCUCUGAGAAGCUUUGUCUAGCUCUGAGCUUAUCUGUGCUUACAUCCAAGAGGAAUUCCACCAAGACAUCUGUGGCCAGCUCCCCAUCAAAUUCAAUCAACCGCUCCUCCUUAAAGACGUAGAGGCUUCCCUCUUCAACCAAGCCUGAAAGAAGGAGACAGGAAACGUCAUGAGGGCAACACAGCACUAACAGCAUCACUCUUUUUACCACGGAGCAUCUUGCUGGUUACUCUGGCAACACCUCCUGGGAAAAUGCCUGUUGUCUGAGCUGGUCCAGUCAAAAUAAUCCUGAAAAACUCCUGGCUGGUGGGUCAUGGCAUGAGGGACAGACCUCAGCCUGAGCUUGCUCUACCACCCCAAAUUUGACCAACCUGUCACUAUAUAGAAAAUGGAUCUCGGUGCGGGCUGUGCUCUCUGCCUAGAGAAGGCUCAACUCUGUGAAUGUAAAAAGUGACCAGGAAGCCAAAGAGGGUUUUGAACUCAAAAAAUCCUCCCCAGGUAUUAUGCAGUUGCCACCAUCACCCUCUCCAUCCUGGUGACAAGGAUUGGGCUGGCUUCUCAGGCUGGCAUCCCUCCUGCACUCUUCCCAAUGCUGUUCCAGACAUAUCAAACAUGGGACUCACCUAGCUUUUUGGCGAGUUUGGCAUCCUUCUUGGAGUCCACCAUCCCAAACCCGAUGCUCCUGGGCUCCAGGACCUGAGCUGCCAGCUGUGGAGGAGGAACCAGAGCCCAGCAUUAGCAGCACGAACACCACAGGGUAGCUAAAGGGCAUUGUGCCCUGCCAGGGUGGCACAGCAGGCACAAGUGACCCAUAUUUUGCUUCCAGGCAGUGCCGAUGGGUGGCAUGCAUCACAUGCUGCCUCUUUGCUGAGAUAAGGCUGCCUGGAGGUCACACGGGUUGGAUUUCUUCCCACUGUGUCGCAGCACCGAGCUUGCUGGUGAGACCACGUGCUGCCAGCUGCUCUUUCACGCUUGGGCAUUGGGAAAGCGCUCCCAGCUGCAUUGGAGACACCAAAGCAGUGGAAUGACUGGGAGAAAGACCUGCACCCAUGAUACAUGGACACUGCAGAUUAUUUUAACUCUGGGAGUGCUCUGAGCCAGGGCACUGCAAUGAUUGUGCGUGAUUUGGUGGUAAAUGCUCCCUGGCCUUGCAAAAGCAAAGUGGUGCUGCACUGCCAGGUGCUCGUGGCCUUACCCCACGUGUCCUUUCUCCCCACAUCAGUCCCGUAUUGCUUUUCUUGCUAUCCCCCUGCAAAGAAACCCAAACCCAGCAGUGUUUAAAUGCUCUGGCUUGUGUUGACCUGUGGGCGAGUCAGAGGGUAAGAGCAGAGCAAUAAAACAGCACAGCUGAGCUGCCAGCCAAGGCAGUCCGUUCUGCUGUGAAAUGCCCUAAGCCACAUCUCCUGCCCUGGCUUCAGCCAGCCCCCUGUGCCAGGUCCCUAUUUUUGCCCGGUUUCCUUAGGAAACCAGGCUAAUCCCAGCCACACUCGUGUUUGUCUCCUCACAGCUUUGGAAACUGCUGCUCUGCUCCCAUCAUUUUUGAUGAAGGGGCCUCUUGACGAUAUCAAGUUCCUGCCUGAUUCGUGAAAAUAGAUAUCCGAGGAAAGGAGAGAAGUGCUGCAAGUGCCCCGCGGCAGGACCCUGCGAAUUCCACCCGGGCUCCUGGGACAUGUGGCCGCCCUGGGAAGUGAGCGGAUAGCUCCUUUAGCCCUUCCACAGGCACCCACCGGGGUGGUAACAUCAUCCUGAGACCACCGAGCAGCUGUAGCACCCCCUCCUCCUCUUCCCCUGCCUCUCUGGGGAUGCCUCCGAUGCUGAUGCCUUCCUUGCCAUCCCCACUGUGUCCCCUGCCUUGGGGAGCAUGCUGCUGCCCCAUUACCCUCACAAAACCCUGAUGGAUUUGGGGAUGGGGAAGAGGGUCGGAAGCCUCUGGGAUGUCUCUGCCUCUUCUCAGCCACAGAAAGCUGGAAGUGGCAGCAGAAAAGUGGUUCCCAGAGGGGUGGCAGGGUGAUUUAUGAGCAGUGCCCUCCUCCAGGGGCCGUUUUGGUAAUCCCCUCUGGCCUCAAAGCUGACCUGAAUGUUACCCGCUGCCACAGCACCUGUGGCCACGUGUCCCCUUGACUCCCCCACUAUAAAUAACCCCUCCCUGCAGCCGGCUGUGGCAAGAGUGAGCAGCGAUCCAGUGAAUCAAGGAGCAAAAGCCACGGGGCAGCUCCCCAUGCUGGCAGUGCUCAGCCCUUCACCAAAAUUCUGGGGAAGACAGCAGACACUCUAGGCUCAGGGAGUUUGCUCUUGUGAAGGGAGGCAACCUUUAUGUGGAAAACGUAGUUGUCUUCUCCCUU